AGCUUGCUCUCGGGUGACGAGCGGCGGACGGGUGAGUAAUGUCUGGGAAACUGCCUGAUGGAGGGGGAUAACUACUGGAAACGGUAGCUAAUACCGCAUAACGUCGCAAGACCAAAGUGGGGGACCUUCGGGCCUCAUGCCAUCAGAUGUGCCCAGAUGGGAUUAGCUAGUAGGUGGGGUAACGGCUCACCUAGGCGACGAUCCCUAGCUGGUCUGAGAGGAUGACCAGCCACACUGGAACUGAGACACGGUCCAGACUCCUACGGGAGGCAGCAGUGGGGAAUAUUGCACAAUGGGCGCAAGCCUGAUGCAGCCAUGCCGCGUGUGUGAAGAAGGCCUUCGGGUUGUAAAGCACUUUCAGCGGGGAGGAAGGCGGUGAGGUUAAUAACCUCGUCGAUUGACGUUACCCGCAGAAGAAGCACCGGCUAACUCCGUGCCAGCAGCCGCGGUAAUACGGAGGGUGCAAGCGUUAAUCGGAAUUACUGGGCGUAAAGCGCACGCAGGCGGUCUGUCAAGUCGGAUGUGAAAUCCCCGGGCUCAACCUGGGAACUGCAUUCGAAACUGGCAGGCUAGAGUCUUGUAGAGGGGGGUAGAAUUCCAGGUGUAGCGGUGAAAUGCGUAGAGAUCUGGAGGAAUACCGGUGGCGAAGGCGGCCCCCUGGACAAAGACUGACGCUCAGGUGCGAAAGCGUGGGGAGCAAACAGG
rnacentral:rRNA from 1 species